rnacentral:rRNA from 1 species
UACGUAGGGUGCAAGCGUUGUCCGGAAUUAUUGGGCGUAAAGGGCGCGUAGGCGGUCCAUCACGUCGGGAGUGAAAAGCUGGGGCUUAACCCCAGUCCUGCAUCCGAUACGGGUGGACUAGAGGUAGGCAGGGGAGAACGGAAUUCCUGGUGUAGCGGUGAAAUGAGCAGAUAUCAGGAGGAACACCGGUGGCGAAGGCGGUUCUCUGGGCCUUACCUGACGCUGAGGAGCGAAAGCGUGGGGAGCAAACAGG